ensembl:lncRNA
GACUUCAACAAGAAAGAUAAAGACCAGCAACGUCCAGACCCAGCGUCAUCUGGUCUCAGAAAGUGCAAGAGAGCUGGAAUUGGACACACAGCAGUAAGAAAGCUUCCUGAAGAAUAAGUUGCUUUCUCAGGAGUCCCUGAUGACAAAUAUCCUGAAUGGUAACAAAUUUUUUGGAUGAGUAUUCUUCCUCAGAGUUAAUUUGUCAUUGCUUAGAGACCCUAAAUUUAUAUACCACUAAGCCAGCCUGACUGAUUGAGGUCUUACUUUCUUCUCAGAAAACAGCACUUGAGAGACAACUUGGGGGACCUCCUUUCAUUAUGUGUGCAAGAGGAGAAACAGCAAUACAUCUGUGCUUCUAAAUGUUCAUUAAGAAUGUGCUGUUUAGAAAUAUUUUUGUUAUGAUUUUAAUUGAAAUUUUCUUUUUGUUGUUUCAUAUUUAUAUGUUCUUG